GAGGGGGGGGGGGGUGAAUAGGUGAUCCUGUAAAAACUUCAAACUUAAGCCACAAAAACUUGUUAAGUGUUAGCACGAUUAUUGCCAAGUGGCUAAGGUGAAGUCUCAACAAUCUCAACAAAACACAGUACCACAAGAGAAUCAAGCACAGAGUGACACAGUGGUUUUAUCCCGUGGUUCGGCCAAGACCAACGCUUGCCUACUCCACGUUGUGGCGUCCCAACGGACGAGGGUUGCAAUCAACCCCUCUCAAGCGGUCCAAAGACCCACUUGAAUACCACGGUGUUUUGUUUUCCUUUCACUAUCCCGUUUGCAAGGAAUCUCCACAAAUUGGAGUCUCUUGCCCUUACAAGUAUAUGAUCACAAAUGAAACACAGAGUAAGGGAGGGAAGCAACACACACAAAUCCACAGCAAAAGCGCACACACACGGCCAAGAAUCGAGCUCACAAGACUAUCUCAGAGUUCUCACUUAGAACAGAGCUCGAAUCACUUAGAAACACAAACGAAUGCGCAGAGACUUAGUGUGGAUGAUCAAGAAUGCUCAAAGGUUGCUUGUGUGUCUCCUCCAUGCGCCUAGGGGCUCCUUUUAUAGCCCCAAGGCAGCUAGGAGCCGUUGAGAGCAAAUCUGGAAGGCCAUCUUUGCCUUCUGUCUCGUGGCGCACCGGACAGUCCGGUGCACACCGGACACUGUCCGGUGCCCGAUUUGUUUCCAUAGAAAGCGAAGCCGACCGUUGCCGACCGUUGCAGAUCUGGCGCACCGGACAGUCCGGUGCACACCGGACAGUCCGGUGCUUCCUUCCGACCGUUGGCUCGGCCACGUGUCGCGCGCCGAUCGCGCGGCCGACCGUUGGCCCGGCCGACCGUUGGCUCACCGGACAGUCCGGUGCACACCGGACAGUCCAGUGAAUUUUAGCCGAAGUCGCCGGAGAAAAACCCGAGAGCGGCCUCUUCGGCCGAGGCAGCCUGGCGCACCGGACACUGUCCGGUGCACCACCGGACAGUCCGGUGCCCCAGACCGAAACAGCCUCUUGGCUGUACACAGCCAAGUCUUCUCUUCUCUUCUUCUUUCUGUUUCUAACACUUAGACAAAUAUAUUAGUACACAAAACCAAUGUACUAAGGCUUAGAAACAUACCUUUACUUGUGAUUUGCAACUUGUCCAUCCAUGGGCAUAUUUUCACAUUUUGGCACCUGUGUUUGCACUUAAUCACCAAAAUACUUAGAAAUGGCCCAAGGGCACAUUUCCCUUUCAAUCUCCCCCUUUUUGGUGAUUUAUGCCAACACAACAUAAAGCAACUAGAACAAGUGCAAAAUCACUUCAAAUAAAAACUCAAAUUGGUUUUGAUUCAAUUUUGGCAUAUAUGGAUCAUCCUUUGCCACCACUUGGUUUGUUUUUGCAAAUCAAACUCAAAUCUCUAUCUAUAAGUCAAACACACAUAUUGAAGCAUAAAGAGAGUCAUUUCAAAAGAAUUUGACCACGGAUUUCAAAAACUCCCCCUUUUUCCCAUAAUCAACACUUCUCCCCACAAGAAGCCAACUUUUGAAAAUAGAGACAAUAAGAGACAAUAAAAGCUUUUGACAAAACAAAAACUCUAUUCUACUAUUUUCAAAAUCUCUCAAGUGGUAGCUGAUCCAUUUAUCGCUUUGGCCUUUAUUUUCUCCCCCUUUGGCAUCAAGCACCAAAACGGGAUCAAUCUUGGCCUUUUAACCUCAUUGCCUCACCAAAGUCUUCAAUUAAGAGCAAAUGGCAAUAAGAUUUCAUGAGAUGAACUUGGAAUUAGUUACCCUCUCAUCGGAGUGCAGUGGAAGUCUUUCAUGGUCCAAGUCCACCUUUUCCCUUUCAAUCCUCCUUCGAGACUAAAUUAUCAAACUCAAGCACAUGGUUAGUCUUAAAGGGUCAAGUUGUAACACAUCUCCCCCUACACAUGUGCAUCACUUUGCAACGGACUUGUGAGGUCCAGGGAGUGUUUGUACAACUUGAGCACCAUAAUAAGCAACAUAAUGCAAAAAGGAACAUGAUCAAAAGCAUAACUACAUGUAUGCUACAAUUCAAUCCAGGUUCCGCGAAUCUAAGACAUUUAGCUCACUACGCAACCUGCAAAAGGUCUUCUCAUCUAGAGGCUUAGUGAAGAUAUCGGCUAGCUGGUUCUCGGUGCUAACGUGAAACACUUCGAUAUCUCCCUUUUGCUGGUGGUCUCUCAAAAAGUGAUGCCGGAUGUCUAUGUGCUUUGUGCGGCUGUGUUCAACAGGAUUCUCCGCCAUGCGGAUAGCACUCUCAUUGUCACAUAGGAGUGGGACUUUGCUCAGAUUGUAGCCAAAGUCCCUGAGGGUUUGCCUCAUCCAAAGUAGUUGCGCGCAACACUGUCCUGCGGCAACAUACUCGGCCUCAGCGGUGGAUAGGGCAACGGAAGUUUGUUUCUUAGAGUUCCAUGACACCAGGGACUUUCCUAAGAAUUGGCACGUCCCCGAUGUACUCUUCCUAUCGACCUUACAUCCAGCAUAGUCGGAGUCUGAGUAUCCAACUAAGUCAAAGGUAGACCCCUUUGGAUACCAGAGCCCGAAGCAAGGCGUAGCAACCAAAUAUCUAAGAAUUCGCUUCACCGCCACUAAGUGACACUCCUUAGGAUCGGAUUGAAAUCUAGCACACAUGCAUACGCUAAGCAUAAUAUCCGGUCUACUAGCACAUAAGUAAAGCAAAGAACCUAUCAUUGACCGGUAUGCUUUUUGAUCAACGGACUUACCUCCUUUGUUGAGGUCGGUGUGUCCGUCGGUCCCCAUCGGAGUCUUUGCGGGCUUGGCGUCCUUCAUCCCAAACCGCUUUAGCAGAUCUUGUGUGUACUUCGUUUGGGAGAUGAAGGUGCCGUCCUUGAGUUGCUUCACUUGGAACCCAAGGAAGUAGUUCAACUCGCCCAUCAUCGACAUCUCGAAUUUCUGCGUCAUCACCCUGCUAAACUCUUCACAAGACUUUUGGUUAGUAGAACCAAAUAUUAUGUCAUCGACAUAAAUUUGGCACACAAACAAAUCACCAUUACAAGUCUUAGUAAAAAGAGUUGGAUCGGCUUUCCCAACCUUGAAAGCAUUAGCAAUUAAGAAAUCUCUAAGGCAUUCAUACCAUGCUCUUGGGGCUUGCUUAAGUCCAUAGAGCGCCUUAGAGAGCUUACACACAUGGUCGGGGUACCGUUCAUCCUCGAAGCCAGGGGGUUGCUCCACGUACACCUCCUCCUUGAUUGGCCCGUUGAGGAAAGCGCUCUUCACAUCCAUUUGGAACAACCUGAAAGAAUGGUGAGCGGCAUAUGCUAGCAAGAUUCGAAUUGACUCUAGCCUAGCCACAGGAGCAAAGGUCUCCUCAAAAUCCAAACCUGCGACUUGGGCAUAACCUUUUGCCACAAGUCGAGCCUUGUUUCUCGUCACCACCCCGUGCUCGUCCUGUUUGUUGCGGAACACCCACUUGGUUCCCACAACAUUUUGCUUCGGACGAGGCACCAGUGUCCAAACUUCAUUGCGCUUGAAGUUGUUUAACUCCUCUUGCAUGGCCAACACCCAGUCUGGAUCUAGCAAGGCCUCUUCUACCCUGAAAGGCUCAAUAGAAGAGACAAAGGAGUAAUGCUCACAAAAAUUAACUAAUCGAGAUCGAGUAGUUACUCCCUUGCUAAUGUCACCCAGAAUUUGGUCGACGGGAUGAUCCCUUUGAAUCAUCGCUCGAACUUGGGUUGGAGGUGCCGGUUGCACUUCUUCCUCCAUUACGUUAUCAUCUUGUGCUCCCCCUUGAUCACACGCCUCCUUAUGAUGAACCUGUUCAUCGUCUUGAGUCGGGGGAUGCACCAUAAUUGAGGAAGAGGGUUGAUCUUGCUCAUCUUGUUCCUGUGGCCGCACUUCUCCAAUCGCCAUGGUUCGUAUAGCGGCCGUCGGGACAUCUUCUUCAUCUACAUCAUCACAAUCAACAACAUGCUCUCUUGGAGAGCCAUUAGUCUCAUCAAAUACAACGUCGCUAGAGGCUUCAACCAAACCCGAUGAUUUGUUGAAGACUCUAUACGCCUUUGUAUUUGAGUCAUAACCUAACAAAAACCCUUCUACAGCUUUGGGAGCAAACUUAGAAUUUCUACCCUUCUUCACUAGAAUGUAGCAUUUACUCCCAAAUACACGAAAGUACGAUACAUUGGGUUUGUUACCGGUUAGUAGCUCAUACGACGUCUUCUUGAGGAGGCGAUGAAGGUAGACCCUGUUGAUGGCGUGGCACGCUGUGUUCACGGCUUCCGUCCAAAAGCACUCGGGGGUCUUGAACUCUCCUAGCAUCGUCCUCGCCAUGUCGAUGAGCGUCCUGUUCUUCCUCUCUACCACACCAUUUUGCUGUGGUGUGUAGGGAGCGGAGAACUCGUGCUUGAUCCCUUCCUCUUCAAGGAACUCCUCCACUUGAAGGUUCUUGAACUCGGACCCGUUGUCGCUUCUUAUCUUUUUCACUUUGAGCUCAAACUCAUUUUGAGCUCUCCUGAGGAAGCGUUUGAGGGUCCCUUGGGUUUCAGACUUAUCCUGCAAAAAGAACACCCAAGUGAAGCGGGAAAAAUCAUCAACAAUAACUAAACCAUACUUACUUCCCCCUAUGCUUAGAUAGGCGACGGGUCCGAAGAGGUCCAUAUGCAGUAGCUCCAGGGGUCUUGACGUGGUCAUCACAUUCUUGCUGUGAUGCGCUCCUCCCACCUGUUUACCUGCCUGACAAGCUGCACAAGGUCUAUCUUUUUCGAAAUGUACAUUUGUUAGACCUAUCACAUGUUCUCCCUUUAGAAGCUUGUGGAGGUUCUUCAUCCCCACAUGUGCUAAGCGGCGAUGCCAUAGCCAGCCCAUGCAAGUCUUAGCCAUUAAGCAUGCAUCUAGACCGGCCUCUUCUUUUGCAAAAUCAACUAAAUAAAGUUUGCCGUCUAGUACACCCUUAAAAGCUAGUGAACCAUCACAUCUUCUAAAGACAGACACAUCUACAUUUGUAAAUAAACAAUUAUAUCCCAUUUGACAUAAUUGACUGACAGAUAGCAAAUUAUAUCCAAGACUCUCCACUAAGAAUACAUUUGAUAUAGAAUGCUCAUUUGAAAUUGCAAUUUUACCUAGCCCUUUUACCUUGCCUUGAUUCCCAUCACCGAAUAUAAUUGAAUCUUGGGAAUCCUUAUUUUUGACGUAGGAGGUGAACAUCUUCUUCUCCCCCGUCAUAUGGUUUGUGCAUCCGCUGUCAAUAAUCCAGCUUGAACCCCCGGAUGCAUAAACCUGCAAGGCAAAUUUAGGCUUGGGUCUUAGGUACCCAACUCAUGUUGGGUCCUGCAAGGUUAGCACAAAUGUCCUUAGGGACCCAAAUGCAAGUCCUGUCUCCCUUGCAUUUUGCCCCUAACUUCCUAGCAACAAUUUUCUUAUCCUUUCUACAAAUAGCAAAGGAAGCAUUUAAAGCAUAAUAAAUUGUGGAAGGUUCAUUCACUACUUUCCUAGGAGCAUGAAUAGCAUUCUUUCUAGACACAUGAUGAAUAGUAUUUCUCUUAGGAACAACAUUUCUCCUAGUAACAUUUCUAUCAUACACAUAAGAGGAACUAGGAGCAAACAUGGCAUGAGAGUCAAAAUCAUCAAAAGCAUUAUAACUCCUAUAAGCAUUUCUAGUUUGUCUCCUAUCAUAAUACAUAAAAGCAUGGUUCUUUUGCACAUUACUAGCCAUAGGGGCCUUCCCUUUCUCCUUGGCGGGAAUGGGAGCCUUAUGGCUUGUUAAGUCCUUAGCUUCUCUCUUGAAGCCAAGUCCAUCCUUAAUUGAGGGGUGUCUACCAAUUGUAUAGGCAUCCCUUGCAAAUUUUAGCUUAUCGAAAUCAUUCUUGCUAGUCUUAAGUUGGGCAUUAAGACUAGCCACUUCCUUAUUUAAUUUGGAAAUUAAAACUAGAUGUUCACUACAGGCAUCAACAUCGAAAUCCUUACACCUAGUGCAAAUCUUAACAUGUUCUACACAAGAAUUAGAUUUAUUUGCUACUUCUAACUUAGCAUUUAAAUCAUUGUUAACACCUUGUAAAGUAGAAAUGGUUUCAUGACAAGUAGAUAGUUCAUAAGAAAGCAUUUCAUUUCUUUUUACUUCUAAAGCAUAUGAUUUUUGUGCCUCUACAAAUUUAUCAUGUUCAUCAUACAAUAAAUCCUCCUGCUUUUCUAAAAGCCUAUCCUUUUCAUUCAAUGCAUCAAUCAAUUCAUUGAUUUUAUCUAUCUUAGAUCUAUCUAAGCCCUUGAACAAGCAUGAAUAAUCUAUGUCAUCAUCACUAGACUCACUAUCACUAGAAGAAGCAUAAGUGGAGUCUUGAGUACUCACCUUCUUCUCCCUUGCCAUAAGACAUGUGAGACGCUCGUUGGGGAAGAGAGCCGAUUUGUUGAAGGCAGUGGCGGCGAGUCCUUCAUUGUCGGAGUCGGACGAGGAGCAAUCCGAGUCCCACUCCUUGCCUAGAUGCGCCUCGCCCUUUGCCUUCUUGUAAUGCUUCUUCUUUUCCCUCUUGUUUCCCUUUUCCUGGUCACUAUCAUUAUCGGGACAGUUAGCAAUAAAAUGACCAAGCUUACCGCAUUUGAAGCAUGAUCGCUUCCCCUUGGUCUUAGUCUUGCUCGGCUGUCCAUUGCGACCCUUUAGCACCGUCUUGAAUCUCUUGAUAAUGAGGGCCAUUUCUUCUUCAUUAAGACCGGCCGCCUCAAUUUGCGCCACCUUGCUGGGUAGCGCCUCCUUGUUCCCUGUGGCUUUGAGAGCAAAAGGUUGCGGCUCGUUGAUCGGUCCGUUCAACGCGUCAUCGACGUACCUUGCCUCCUUGAUCAUCAUCCGCCCGCUCACGAAUUUUCCAAGUACUUCUUCGGGCGUCAUCAUCGUGUACCUGGGGUUCUCACGAAUAUUGUUCACGAGAUGAGGAUCAAGAACGGUAAAGGACCUGAGCAUUAGUCGGACGACGUCGUGGUCCGUCCAUCGCGUGCUUCCGUAGCUCCUUAUUUUGUUGACAAGGGUCUUGAGCCGGUUGUAUGUUUGAGUUGGCUCCUCGCCCCUUAUCAUCGCGAACCGUCCAAGCUCGCCCUCCACCAACUCCAUUUUGGUGAGCAAGGUAGCGUCAUUUCCCUCAUGAGAGAUCUUGAGGGUAUCCCAGAUUUGCUUGGCGUUAUCCAAGCCACUCACUUUAUUAUAUUCAUCCCUGCACAAUGAGGCUAGAAGAACAGUAGUAGCUUGUGCAUUCUUAUGGAUUUGCUCAUUAAUGAAUAUAGGACUAUCCGAACUAUUAAAGUGCAUUCCACUAUCUACAAUCUCCCAUAUGCUAGGAUGGAGAGAGAAUAGGUGACUACGCAUUUUGUGGCUCCAAAAUCCGUAGUCCUCCCCAUCAAAGUGUGGGGGCUUGCCGAGUGGAAUGGAAAGCAAAUGUGAAUUUGAACUAUGCGGAAUACGAGAGUAGUCAAAAGAAAAGUUAGAAUUAACCGGUUUCCUUUGUUUGUCGUAGUCGUCGUCCUUUUGGGAAGAAGAGGACUCAUCGCUGUCGUAGUAGACGAUCUCCUUGAUGCGUCUUGUCUUCUUCUUCUUCCCAUCUCUUCGCUUGUGGCCCGAGCCCGAGUCAUUGGACUUGUCAUCCCUUGGCUCGUUGACGAAGGACUCCUUCUCCUUGUCGUUGAUCACAAUUCCCUUCCCCUUAGGAUCCAUCUCUUCGGGCGGUUAGUCCCUUUCUUGAAGAGAACGCCUCUGAUACCAAUUGAGAGCACCUAGAGGGGGGGGGUGAAUAGGUGAUCCUGUAAAAACUUCAAACUUAAGCCACAAAAACUUGUUAAGUGUUAGCACGAUUAUUGCCAAGUGGCUAAGGUGAAGUCUCAACAAUCUCAACAAAACACAGUACCACAAGAGAAUCAAGCACAGAGUGACACAGUGGUUUUAUCCCGUGGUUCGGCCAAGACCAACGCUUGCCUACUCCACGUUGUGGCGUCCCAACGGACGAGGGUUGCAAUCAACCCCUCUCAAGCGGUCCAAAGACCCACUUGAAUACCACGGUGUUUUGUUUUCCUUUCACUAUCCCGUUUGCAAGGAAUCUCCACAAAUUGGAGUCUCUUGCCCUUACAAGUAUAUGAUCACAAAUGAAACACAGAGUAAGGGAGGGAAGCAACACACACAAAUCCACAGCAAAAGCGCACACACACGGCCAAGAAUCGAGCUCACAAGACUAUCUCAGAGUUCUCACUUAGAACAGAGCUCGAAUCACUUAGAAACACAAACGAAUGCGCAGAGACUUAGUGUGGAUGAUCAAGAAUGCUCAAAGGUUGCUUGUGUGUCUCCUCCAUGCGCCUAGGGGCUCCUUUUAUAGCCCCAAGGCAGCUAGGAGCCGUUGAGAGCAAAUCUGGAAGGCCAUCUUUGCCUUCUGUCUCGUGGCGCACCGGACAGUCCGGUGCACACCGGACACUGUCCGGUGCCCGAUUUGUUUCCAUAGAAAGCGAAGCCGACCGUUGCCGACCGUUGCAGAUCUGGCGCACCGGACAGUCCGGUGCACACCGGACAGUCCGGUGCUUCCUUCCGACCGUUGGCUCGGCCACGUGUCGCGCGCCGAUCGCGCGGCCGACCGUUGGCCCGGCCGACCGUUGGCUCACCGGACAGUCCGGUGCACACCGGACAGUCCGGUGAAUUUUAGCCGAAGUCGCCGGAGAAAAACCCGAGAGCGGCCUCUUCGGCCGAGGCAGCCUGGCGCACCGGACACUGUCCGGUGCACCACCGGACAGUCCGGUGCCCCAGACCGAAACAGCCUCUUGGCUGUACACAGCCAAGUCUUCUCUUCUCUUCUUCUUUCUGUUUCUAACACUUAGACAAAUAUAUUAGUACACAAAACCAAUGUACUAAGGCUUAGAAACAUACCUUUACUUGUGAUUUGCAACUUGUCCAUCCAUGGGCAUAUUUUCACAUUUUGGCACCUGUGUUUGCACUUAAUCACCAAAAUACUUAGAAAUGGCCCAAGGGCACAUUUCCCUUUCAGGCUCCAGAGCUCCCCUAGUGGCCCUCAGCCCCUCGGGCAAGGGGAAGGGGGCUACGAGCAGUUCUUCUGCCCUGGGUGAUUCUGAGAGGUCGGAGGGAGAGAGGCGGCACCGACUGUGUCGCGCUGACGGGUCUUUCGUUGGGGAUCCGCCCCUUGAUUCGGACCUCCCCCAGAAGCGCUAGAGGACAGCUAGCGGGGGGCGGGGCCAAGGAGGCCGGCUCCUCGGCCCAGGGCUCGCAGAGGCGCGUCAGUCCUCCACCUGCGCCACCAAUCCCGCCGCCACCAUCAUCCGACUCGCCGCCGCCGUAGGGGCAGCAGCAUCAACGGCAGCAACAGCAGGAGGGGCAGCGGAUGUCUCGCUUCCAAGGUUGCUGGAAGGUCCAGGACCCCAAGUAAGUGUACCCCUUUCCAUUUUCCUCCAUUAGUCUAGUCAUCAUGUUGACAUGUAUUAACCCGUCCUUUGCUCAUUAGGGCCUCUUCCUCCUCUAUCUCCAAAGUCGCUCCUACUGGUGAGUCCGGCUCCCAGCAACAGGUGUCUGCUGGCCUCGAUGCCGGCGACCUGCCUCCGCCUGCCACUGUUGGGGCGGCGCCAUCGGGCCCCCAGGUUCUGACUGCUGCAGGCGCGGCAGGGUCGUCGGGCCCCCAGGAUCCAGCUGCCACUGCCGAGGCAGUGCCGUCGGGCCCCUAGGCCUCAGCUGAGGAUCUGAUAGCAGCAGCAUUGCCAACGGCUACUGCAGGCCCAACGGCGGCGGCGAUGUCGCCGAAUAUGCUGUCGGCGUCGGCGGAAGCCACGGGGGGCGCGUCCGAUUCCAUCCCACUGCCCGUUCUGGAGGAGCCGGAGGUUAUUCUUGGGCGGCGGCUCCAGACCGGCGCCGGGCCAGAAACGAUGCCACCUCCCCUCCCUCAGGUGUUGUCCCAUGCUCACCAGGCUCUCCGGGAGACCGAGGCGGCGAUCCUGUGGGAGUGGGAGGCGCUCGAGACUAAGCGCCAGCACCUUGGCGAUUGGCACUCCCAGCUGGAGGAACGUACCCAGGCCGCGUCCUACCAAUUUGCUUUGGAGUGGUCCGAGCUUGAGCAUGGGCGCGAGGACCUCAAGGAGGACCUGAAGAGGGUGCUCGAGCGGGAGCGAGAGGUGACUUAGGAGGAGAAGAGGCUGGUCAGGAAGAAAGAGCACUUGGACCAGCAGGAGGCAGCCAUCACGGAAUUCCAUGAGAAGUUGAAAGCCUAUAAUGCGAUGCUGGAGGAGCAGAGGGAUGAGCAUACCGCGACUGAAGCGGCGCUGCAAAAGUGCAGCAGGAGCUUGAUGAUAGGGCUAGCAACAUCUCUCUCGCCGAGGAAAACCUCAAGGCGAAGGAUGCUUCCCUAGAGGAGCGGGCGACGGAUCUCACCCGAUAGGAGAAGGACCUUGCCUAGAGGGAGGAGAUGUGGGAAAGGCGGGAAAAGUUGCUGGCCGAGCAUGAGCUCGAGGCGGAGGAGAAAGAAACAAAUUGGAGGAGAAAGAGUGGACACUAGAGGAGUAGGUCUGCCGGUUCUAGGCAACGCAAGCGCGGGUAGCGCAAACGGCGCAGGCGGCUCCGGGUUCCCAGGCGGUAGAGGCGAUGAAGAAGACGCUAGAAGAUCUUUGGUCAGAGGAUCACAUCGGGGUUCAGCGUAUCGCUGCAUGGGCCGCCGAGGCGAGCUUGGCUCUAGUACCGUUGGGGGUGAGCCCCAUCCCAGUGUUGAAGCAGUCGGUGUCCAUUUUCGACGUGCUCUCGGUGUUGGAUUUCGCUGCUGACCGCCUCCGGCGCCUUGAUCAGAUCCUUGGUGCUCGCCUGGAGGCUGAGGGCAGCAGACUCUGCCGGGCGGUAAUAGAGUACAUUCUGACGUGCUUCCAGAGCCACGACCCGGCCAUCUCCUUGGGGCCGGUGAUUGCCCGUCCGAUGGCCGAUACCGAAGACGCCGCCCGGGGGAGCGUUGAAAGGGAAUUAGGCUUACACCUAGUCCCUAAUUAAUUUUGGUGGUUGAAUUAACCAACACAAAUAAGUGGACUAACUAGUUUGCCCAAGUGUAUAGAUUAUACUGGUGUAAAAGGUUCACACUCAGCCAAUAAAAAGACCAAGUUUUGGAUUCAACAAAGGAGUAAAGGGGCAACCGAAGGCACCCCUGGUCUGGCGCACCGGACUGUCCGGUGUGCCACCGGACAUGUCCGGUGCACCAAGGGGACUCAGACUCAAACUCGCCACCUUCGGGAAUUCCCAGAGGCGACUCGGCUAUAAUUCACCGGACUGUCCGGUGUACACCGGACAGUGUCCGGUGCGCCAAGGGAGGUCGGCCUCAGGAACUCGCCAGCUUCGGGAAACUCCAACGGCUAGUCCGCUAUAAUUCACCGGACUAUCCGGUGUGCACCGGACUGUCCGGUGCGUCUCCGGAGCAACGGCUACCUCCGCGCCAACGGCUCUCUGCGGUGCAAUAAAUGCGCGCGCAGCGCGCGCAGAUGGCAGGCGUGCCCAUACUGGCACACCGGACAAGGAACAGUAGAUGUCCGGUGUGCACCGGACACCCAGGCGGGCCCACAAGUCAGAAGCUCCAACGGUCAGAAUCCAACGGCAGUGAUGACGUGGCAGGGGGCACCGGACUGUCCGGUGUGCACCGGACUGUCCGGUGCGCCAUCGAGCAGUCAGCCUCCCAACGGCCACAUUUGGUGGUUGGGGCUAUAAAUACCCCAACCACCCCACCAUUCAUUGCAUCCAAGUUCUCUACUUCCCAUCUACUACAAGAGCUCUAGCAUUCAAUUCUAGACACACCAAAGAGAUCAAAUCCUCUCCAUAUUCCACACAACGCCCUAGUGAUUAGAGAGAGAGAUUUGCUUGUGUUCUUUCGAGCUCUUGCGCUUGGAUUGCUUCCUUCUUUCUUGAUUCUUUCUUGUGAUCAAACACUCACUUGUAAUUAAGGCAAGAGGCACCAAUUGUGUGGUGGCCCUUGCGGGAAGUUUGAUUCCCAAGUGAUUUGAGAAGAGAAGCUCACUCGGUCCGAGGGACCGAUUGAGAGAGGGAAGGGUUGAAAGAGACCCGGCCUUUGUGGCCUCCUCAAACGGGGAGUAGGUUUGCAAAAACCGAACCUCGGUAAAACAAAUCCGCGUGUCACACUCUUCAUUUAAUUGCGAUUUGUUUUGCUCCCUCUCUCGCGGACUCGUUUAUACUUCUAACGCUAACCCGGCUUGUAGUUGUGUUUAUAUUUGUAAAUUUCAGUUUCGCCCUAUUCACCCCCCUCUAGGCGACUUUCAAUUGGUAUCGGAGCCCGGUGCUUCAUUAGAGCCUAACCGCUCGAAGUGAUGUCGGGAGAUCACGCCAAGAAGGAGAUGGAGACCGGCGAAAAGCCCACUACAAGCCACGGGAGCACUUCAUCGGAAGAGUCCCGCACCAAGAGGAAGGAGAAGAAGAAGGACUCCUCCAAACGGAAGGAGAAAAAGUCUUCCUCUUCUCACCACAAAGAGAAGAAGGAAAAAUCUUCUUCCCACAAGCCGCAUCGGAAAGGCGACAAGCACAAGAGGAUGAGGAAAGUGGUCUACUACGAGACCGACACUUCAUCAACAUCGACCUCCGACUCCGAUGCGCCCUCCGUCACUUCUAAGCGCCAAGAGCGCAAGAAGUAUAGUAAGAUCCCCCUACGCUACCCUCGCAUUUCCAAACAUACACCUUUACUUUCCGUCCCAUUAGGCAAACCACCAACUUUUGAUGGUGAAGAUUACGCUAGGUGGAGCGAUUUAAUGCGAUUUCAUCUAACCUCGCUCCACAAAGGUAUAUGGGAUGUUGUUGAGUUUGGUGCACAGGUACCGUCGGUAGGGGAUGAGAACUAUGAUGAGGAUGAGGUGGCCCAAAUCGAGCACUUCAACUCUCAAGCAACAACAAUACUCCUCGCCUCUCUAAGUAGAGAGGAGUAUAACAAAGUACAAGGGUUGAAGAGCGCCAAGGAGAUUUGGGAUGUGCUCAAAACCGCGCACGAGGGAGACGAGCUCACUAAGAUCACCAAGCGGGAAACGAUCGAGGGGGAGCUCGGUCGGUUCCGGCUUCGCAAAGGGGAGGAGCCACAACACAUGUACAACCGGCUCAAGACCUUGGUGAAUCAAGUGCGCAACCUCGGGAGCGUAAAGUGGGAUGACCACGAGAUGGUUAAGGUUAUUCUAAGAUCUCUUAUUUUCCUUAACCCUACUCAAGUCCAAUUGAUCCGUGGUAAUCCUAGAUAUACUAAAAUGACCCCCGAGGAAGUUAUCGGGAAUUUUGUGAGUUUUGAGUGCAUGAUCGAAGGCUCGAGGAAGAUCAACGAGCUUGAUGAUGCCACCACAUCCGAAGCUCAACCCGUUGCAUUCAAAGCAACGGAGGAGAAGAAGGAGGAGUCUACACCAAGUCGACAACCAAUAGACGCCUCCAAGCUCGACAAUGAGGAAAUGGCGCUCGUCAUCAAGAGCUUCCGCCAAAUCCUCAAGCAAAGGAGGGGGAAGGAUUACAAGUCCCGCUCCAAGAAGGUUUGCUACAAGUGUGGUAAGCCCGGUCAUUUUAUUGCUAAAUGUCCUAUAUCUAGUGACAGUGACCGAGGUGACGACAAGAAGGGGAGGCGAAAGGAGAAGAAGAGGUACUACAAGAAGAAGGGCGGUGAUGCCCAUGUUUGUCGGGAGUGGGACUCCGACGAAAGCUCAAGCGACUCCUCCGACGACGAGGACGCCGCCAACAUCGCCGUUACCAAGGGACUCCUCUUCCCCAACGUCGGCCACAAGUGCCUCAUGGCAAAGGACGGCAAAAAGAAGAAGGUUAAAUCCAACUCCUCCACUAAAUAUGAGUCUUCCAGUGAUGAUAAUGCUAGUGGUGAGGAAGAUAAUUUGCGUACUCUUUUUGCCAACCUUAACAUGGAACAAAAGGAGAAAUUAAAUGAACUAAUUAGUGCCAUCCAUGAGAAGGAUGAUCUCUUGGACUCCCAAGAGGACUUCCUAAUCAAGGAAAAUAAAAAACAUGUUAAGGUUAAAAAUGCUUACGCUCUACAAGUUGAAAAAUGUGAAAAAUUGUCUAGUGAGCUAAGCACUUGCCGUGAGAUGAUUGACAACCUUAGAAAUGAAAAUGCUAGUUUAAAUGCUAAGGUUGAUUCUCAUGUUUGUAAUGUUUCAAUUCCCAAUCCUAGAGAUAAUAAUGAUGAUUUGCUUGCUAGGAUUGAAGAAUUAAACAUGUCUCUUGCUAGCCUUAGAUUAGAGAAUGAAAAUUUGAUUGCUAAGGCUAAAGAUUUUGAUGUUUGCAAAGUUACAAUUGCCGAUCUUAGAGAUAAAAAUGAUAUACUUCGUGCUAAGAUUGUUGAACUUAAUUCUUGCAAACCAUCUACAUCUACCACUGAGCAUGUCACUAUUUGUACUAGAUGUAGAAAUGUUGAUAUUGAUGCUAUUCAUGAUCAUAUGGCUUUAAUUAAACAACAAAAUGAUCAUAUAGCAAAACUAGAUGCUAAAAUUGCCGAGCACAACUUAGAAAAUGAGAAAUUUAAAUUUGCUCGUAGCAUGCUUUAUAAUGGGAGACGCCCUGGCAUUAAGGAUGGCAUCGGCUUCCAAAGGGGAGACAAUGUCAAAAUUAGUGCCCCUCCUAAAAGAUUGUCAAAUUUUGUUAAGGGCAAGGCUCCCAUGCCUCAGGAUAACGAGGGUUACAUUUUAUACCCUGCCGGUUAUCCCGAGGACAAAAUUAGGAAAAUUCAUUCUAGGAAGUCUCACUCUGGUUCCAACCAUGCUUUUAUGUAUAAGAGUGAGACAUCUAGUUCUAGGCAACCAACCCGUGCUAAGUUGCCUAAGAAGAAAAUUCCUAAUGCAUCAAAUGAACAUGCCAUUUCAUUUAAGACUUUUGAUGCAUCUUAUGUUUUGACUAACAAAUCCGGCAAGGUAGUUGCCAAGUUUGUUGGGGGCAAACACAAGGGGUCAAAGACUUGUGUUUGGGUACCCAAAGUUCUUGUUUCUAAUGCCAAAGGACCCAAAACCGUUUGGGUACCUAAAGUCAAGAACUAAAAUUGUUUUGUAGGUUUAUGCAUCCGGGGGCUCAAGUUGGAUACUCGACAGCGGGUGCACAAACCAUAUGACUGGGGAGAAAAGGAUGUUCUCCUCAUAUGAGAAAAACCAAGAUCCCCAACGAGCUAUCACAUUCGGGGAUGGAAAUCAAGGUUUGGUCAAAGGUCUUGGUAAAAUAGCUAUAUCUCCUGACCAUUCUAUUUCCAAUGUUUUUCUUGUAGAUUCUUUAGAUUACAAUUUGCUUUCCGUUUCACAAUUAUGUCAAAUGGGCUACAACUGUCUAUUCACUGAUGUAGGUGUCACUGUCUUUAGAAGAAGUGAUGAUUCAAUAGCAUUUAAGGGAGUGUUAGAGGGUCAGCUAUACUUAGUAGAUUUUGAUAGAGCUGAACUCGACACUUGCUUAAUUGCUAAGACUAACAUGGGUUGGCUCUGGCACCACCGACUAGCCCAUGUUGGAAUGAAGAAUCUUCAUAAGCUUCUAAAGGGAGAACACAUUUUAGGAUUAACAAAUGUUCAUUUUGAGAAAGACAGGAUUUGUAGCGCGUGCCAAGCAGGGAAGCAAGUUGGAGCUCAUCAUCCACACAAGAACAUCAUGACGACCGACAGGUCACUGGAGCUCCUACACAUGGAUCUAUUCGGCCCGAUUGCUUACAUAAGCAUCGGCGGGAGUAAGUACUGUCUAGUUAUUGUGGAUGAUUAUUCUCGCUUCACUUGGGUAUUCUUUUUACAGGAAAAAUCUCAAACCCAAGAGACCUUAAAGGGAUUCUUGAGACGGGCUCAAAAUGAGUUCGGCUUAAGGAUCAAGAAAAUAAGAAGCGACAACGGGACGGAGUUCAAGAACUCACAAAUUGAAGGCUUUCUUGAGGAGGAGGGCAUCAAGCAUGAGUUCUCUUCUCCCUACACCCCUCAACAAAAUGGUGUAGUGGAGAGGAAGAAUCGAACUCUAUUGGACAUGGCAAGAACCAUGCUUGAUGAGUACAAGACACCGGACCGGUUUUGGGCCGAAGCGGUCAACACCGCCUGCUACGCCAUCAACCGGUUAUAUCUUCACCGAAUCCUCAAGAAGACAUCAUAUGAACUCCUAACCGGUAAAAAGCCCAACAUUUCAUACUUUAGAGUUUUUGGUAGCAAAUGCUUUAUUCUUGUUAAAAGAGGUAGAAAAUCUAAAUUUGCUCCUAAAACUGUAGAAGGCUUUUUACUUGGUUAUGACUCAAACACAAGGGCAUAUAGGGUCUUUAACAAGUCCACUGGACUAGUUGAAGUCUCAUGUGACGUUGUGUUUGAUGAAACUAACGGCUCUCAAGUAGAGCAAGUUGAUCUUGAUGAGAUAGGUAAUGAAGAGGCUCCAUGCAUAGCGCUAAGGAACAUGUCCAUUGGGGAUGUGUGUCCUAAGGAAUCCGAAGAGCCUCCAAGUGCACAAGAUCAACCAUCCUCCACCACGCAAGCAUCUCCACCAACUCAAAAUGAGGAUGAGGCUCAAGUUGAUGAAGGGCAAAAUCAAGAAGAUGAGCCACCUCAAGAUAAUGGCAAUGAUCAAGGGGGAGAUGCAAAUGAUCAAGAAAAGGAGGAUGAGGAAGAACCAAGGCCGCCACACCCAAGAGUCCACCAAGCAAUCCAACGAGAUCACCCCGUCGACACCAUCCUCGGCGACAUUCAUAAGGGGGUAACCACUCGAUCUCGUGUUGCACAUUUUUGUAAACAUUACUCUUUUGUUUCCUCUAUUGAGCCACACAGGGUAGAGGAAGCACUUCAAGAUUCGGAUUGGGUGAUGGCGAUGCAAGAGGAGCUCAACAACUUCACUAGGAAUGAGGUAUGGCAUUUAGUUCCACGUCCUAAUCAAAAUGUUGUAGGAACCAAAUGGGUCUUCCGCAACAAGCAAGACGAGCAUGGUGUGGUGACAAGGAACAAAGCUCGACUUGUGGCCAAAGGAUACUCCCAAGUCGAAGGUUUGGAUUUCGGUGAAACCUAUGCACCCGUAGCUAGGCUUGAGUCAAUUCGCAUAUUAUUGGCCUAUGCUACUUACCAUGGCUUUAAGCUUUAUCAAAUGGACGUGAAAAGUGCUUUCCUCAACGGACCAAUCAAGGAAGAGGUCUAUGUUGAGCAACCUCCCGGCUUUGAAGACAGUGAGUAUCCUAAUCAUGUCUAUAAGCUCUCUAAGGCGCUUUAUGGGCUCAAGCAAGCCCCAAGAGCAUGGUAUGAAUGCCUUAGAGAUGUUCUUAUUGCAAAUGGAUUCAAAGUCGGAAAGGCCGAUCCUACACUCUUUUACUAAAACUCUUGAAAAUGACUUAUUUGUAUGCCAAAUUUAUGUUGAUGAUAUUAUAUUUGGGUCUACUAACGAGUCUACAUGUGAAGAGUUUAGUAGGAUCAUGACUCAGAAAUUCGAGAUGCCAAUGAUGGGGGAGUUGAAGUAUUUCUUAGGAUUUCAAGUGAAGCAACUCCAAGAGGGCACCUUCAUUUGUCAAACAAAGUACACUCAAGACAUUCUAACCAAGUUUGGAAUGAAGGAUGCCAAGCCCAUCAAAACACCCAUGGGAACUAAUGGGCAUCUCGACCUCGACACGGGAGGUAAGUCCGUGGAUCAAAAAGUAUACCGGUCGAUGAUUGGUUCAUUGCUUUAUUUGUGUGCAUCUCGACCGGACAUUAUGCUUUCCGUUUGCAUGUGUGCAAGAUUCCAAUCCGACCCUAAGGAAUCCCACCUUACGGCCAUCAAACGAAUCUUGAGAUAUUUGGCUUAUACUCCUAAGUUUGGACUUUGGUACCCUCGGGGAUCCACAUUUGAUUUAAUUGGUUAUUCGGAUGCCGAUUGGGCGGGGUGCAAAAUCAAUAGAAAGAGCACAUCGGAGACUUGCCAGUUCUUGGGAAGAUCCUUGGUGUCUUGGGCUUCAAAGAAGCAAAAUUCGGUCGCUCUUUCCACCGCCGAAGCCGAGUACAUUGCCGCAGGCCAUUGUUGCGCGCAAUUACUUUGGAUGAGGCAAACCCUGCGGGACUACGGUUACAAAUUAACCAAAGUCCCUUUGCUAUGUGAUAAUGAGAGUGCAAUCAAAAUGGCUGACAAUCCCGUCGAGCAUAGCCGCACUAAGCACAUAGCCAUUCGGUAUCAUUUUCUUAGGGAUCACCAACAAAAGGGAGAUAUCGAGAUUGCUUACAUUAAUACUAAAGAUCAAUUAGCCGAUAUCUUUACCAAGCCACUUGAUGAACAAACUUUUACCAAACUUAGGCAUGAGCUCAAUAUUCUUGAUUCCCGCAACUUCUUUUGUUAGAUUGCACACAUAGCUCAUUUAUAUACUUUUGAUCAUAUCUCUUUUAUAUAUGCUAUGACUAAUGUGUUUCCAAGUCUACUUCAAAUCAAGUCAUAGGUAUAUUGAAAGGGAAUUGGAGUUUUUUCGGCGAAGACAAAGGCUUCCACUCCGCAACCCAUCCUUCGCCGUCGCUCCAAGCCACUCUCCAUCUUUGGGGGAGAGAACAAAAGGACUUCAUCUUUGGUAUAAUCUUAACUCAUUUGUUUAUGACCAAAGAGGAAGUCAUUACUUCGUGGGCUCUAAUGAUUCCGUUUUUGGCGAUUCAUGCCAAAGGGGGAGAAAGUAUGAGCCCAAAGCAAAAGGACCGCACCAUCACCAAUUUCAAAAAACUUAGUGCUUUCCAAAAGUAUUUAUCAAUUGGUAUCCUAUUGUGUUCAAAAGGAGAAGAAAAUUAGUUUUUCAAAAAUGUAUGUCAAAACCCUCUUGAACACUAAGAGGUGGAUCUCCUUUAGGGGGAGUUUUGUUUAGUCAAAGGAAAAGCAUUUGAAAUAGGGGGAGAAAAUUUCAAAUCUUGAAAAUGCUUUGCAAACUCUUAUUCAUUUACCUUUGACUAUUUGCAAAAGAUUCUUGAAAUGGAUUCACAAAAAGAAUUUGCAAAAACAAAACAUGUGGUGCAAACGUGGUCCAAAAUGUUAUAUAAGAAAGAAACAGUCCAUGCAUAUCUUGUAAGUAUUUAUAUUGGCUCAAUUCUAAGCAACCUUUACACUUACAUUAUGCAAACUAGUUCAAUUAUGCACUUCUAUAUUUGCUUUGGUUUGUGUUGGCAUCAAUCACCAAAAAGGGGGAGAUUGAAAGGGAAUUAGGCUUACACCUAGUCCCUAAUUAAUUUUGGUGGUUGAAUUAACCAACACAAAUAAGUGGACUAACUAGUUUGCCCAAGUGUAUAGAUUAUACAGGUGUAAAAGGUUCACACUCAGCCAAUAAAAAGACCAAGUUUUGGAUUCAACAAAGGAGCAAAGGGGCAACCGAAGGCACCCCUGGUCUGGCGCACCGGACUGUCCGGUGUGCCACCGGACAUGUCCGGUGCACCAAGGGGACUCAGACUCAAACUCGCCACCUUCGGGAAUUCCCAGAGGCGACUCGGCUAUAAUUCACCGGACUGUCCGGUGUACACCGGACAGUGUCCGGUGCGCCAAGGGAGGUCGGCCUCAGGAACUCGCCAGCUUCGGGAAACUCCAACGGCUAGUCCGCUAUAAUUCACCGGACUGUCCGGUGUGCACCGGACUGUCCGGUGCGUCUCCGGAGCAACGGCUACCUCCGCGCCAACGGCUCUCUGCGGUGCAAUAAAUGAGCGCGCAGCGCGUGCAGAUGGCAGGCGUGCCCAUACUGGCACACCGGACAAGGAACAGUAGAUGUCCGGUGUGCACCGGACACCCAGGCGGGCCCACAAGUCAGAAGCUCCAACGGUCAGAAUCCAACGGCAGUGAUGACGUGGCAGGGGGCACCGGACUGUCCGGUGUGCACCGGACUGUCCGGUGCGCCAUCGAGCAGUCAGCCUCCCAACGGCCACAUUUGGUGGUUGGGGCUAUAAAUACCCCAACCACCCCACCAUUCAUUGCAUCCAAGUUCUCUACUUCCCAUCUACUACAAGAGCUCUAGCAUUCAAUUCUAGACACACCAAAGAUAUCAAAUCCUCUCCAUAUUCCACACAACGCCCUAGUGAUUAGAGAGAGAGAUUUGCUUGUGUUCUUUCGAGCUCUUGCGCUUGGAUUGCUUCCUUCUUUCUUGAUUCUUUCUUGUGAUCAAACACUCACUUGUAAUUAAGGCAAGAGGCACCAAUUGUGUGGUGGCCCUUGCGGGAAGUUUGAUUCCCAAGUGAUUUGAGAAGAGAAGCUCACUCGGUCCGAGGGACCGAUUGAGAGAGGGAAGGGUUGAAAGAGACCCGGCCUUUGUGGCCUCCUCAAACGGGGAGUAGGUUUGCAAAAACCGAACCUCGGUAAAACAAAUCCGCGUGUCACACUCUUCAUUUGCUUGCGAUUUGUUUUGCUCCCUCUCUCGCGGACUCGUUUAUACUUCUAACGCUAACCCGGCUUGUAGUUGUGUUUAUAUUUGUAAAUUUCAGUUUCGCCCUAUUCACCCCCCCUCUAGGCGACUUUCAAGCGUGCAAGACACCGUAGACGUGGUGGCCAAGCGCUUCCAGCGAGAUCCCGCUGAUGAUGAGUAGUGGGCUCUGCGAAGAGAAAGCAAAGGUUCCACUGGGAAGCGGCUUAUCAUAUUUUGGUUUUGUAAGAUACCUUUAAGUACUAUUUGAACUUAUCUGCAUGUUACUUCCCCCUUGCUAUGUGCGUUGUUAUCAACUUCUUCCCUGUUGCUUGGCCCCUCUGGAAUGUGGUCUCGACUUGUCGAGGCUGGAUGCCAGUAUAUCUAAGAAAGAGUUGGUGACCUGGCCCCCAGGAGGGUACUUCGACUGGGAUCUAGACCUGCACGCAGCCUUAGCUAGGAAGUUUUAGUAGCGCACCCAUCGGACCCAUUAAUUGGUAUCCUUCAUCUUUUGAUAAAAACAAUGGUGGCAAGCUUAAGCAGAAUAAGAUCACCAUAAGGCAAAUCUGGGGUCGAGUGAAUCUCUUCAUAACCUGGUGUUUAUGAGCAUAAAACAACGGACCGGGUUUAUAAGGGCGGACCUUACCGGGUUGGCGUACAUACAAGUGCUACCUAGUUACAAAGGAAGAAAACUGCAUUCCCCAGUUUUUCUUUUAUGGGAAGAACUUACGGAGGUGCUCUAUGUUCCAGGGAUUGGGCAGAAACUCUCCUUCAGUUGUGGCGAGGCGGACACACCCGGGUCGUCAUACUUCCGUCACCUUGAAGGGUCCUUCCCAGCUGGGGGAGAGUUUAUGGAGCCCUUCUCAGUUCAGUACUCGCCUUAGGACUAGGUCCCCAACCCUGAGCUCCUUACUAUGCACGAACCGUUGGUGGUAACGCCUGAGCGCUUGGUUGUACCGUGCAUUUCGGAUGGCUGCUUGCCAUCUGCGCUCAUCGAUGAGGUCCACGUCUUCACGCUGCAGCUGUCCCUGCAUAGAUUCCUCGAAAGCCUGGACCCGAGGAGAACCCAUGAUGAUUUCUGGGGGAAGACAGGCUUCGGCCCCGUAGACCAGGAAGAACGGGGUCUCCCCGGUGGCUCGGCUGGGUGUUGUUCGGUUCCCCCAUAGCACGGAUGGGAGCUCACUGACCUAAUUCACACCAUGCUUCUUCAAGUAGUCAUAGGUGCGCGUCUUGAGUCCCUUGAGGAUCUCUACAUUUGCCCUUUCCGCUUGGCCAUUGCUUCUAGGGUGGGCCACGGAUGCGAAGCAGAGUUGGGUGCCGAUGCCCUCGUAAUAUUCUUGGAAGAUUCGACUUGUAAACUGGGUUCUGUUGUCCAUGAUGAUACGGUUUGGGACCCCAAAUCUACAGACGAUGGACUUGAGGAAAGCGACAGCGGCACCUUGGGUGAUGUUGACCACAGGGGUGGCCUCUGGCCACUUAGUGAACUUGUCGAUGGCGACAUAGAGGUACCGGUACCCGCCAACGGCCCUGGGAAAUGGCCCUAGGAUAUCCACCCCCCAUAUGGCGAAUGGCCAAGAGGGUGGAAUCAUUUGCAGAGCCUGAGCUGGUGUGUGCAUUUGUUUUGCGUGGAAUUGACACGCCUUGCAGGACUUCACCAUCUCAGCUGCAUCCUGGAGAGCGGUUGGCCAGUAAAAGCCAUGCCAGAAGGCCUUACCGACCAGUGUGCGGGAUGAUGAAUGACUUCCGCAGUCUCCUCCAUGGAUCUCCGUGAGCAACUCAUGGCCCUCUUCCUGGGUAAUGCAUCGCAUGUGAAUGCCGUUGGGGCCACGGUGGUAGAGAUCCCCUUCCACCACCGCGUAACGCUUAGCCAACCGCACUAUGCGUUCUAUGGACACAUGGUCUUCAGGAAGGAUAUUCUCCUUUAGGUAGUCCCGGAUCUCAGAGAUCCAUGCAUCGGGACCACUAUGAGAUAUUGGCUGCGAUGCUAAGGGGCUGGCAGGCCCCCCUGUAGCAUACACAGCCUUUGGUGGGUUCUGGGACGCCACCAGGACCGCUAGCUUUGAGGUGCUAGUCUCGCCCCCUUCGCCCAGUUUGGCAGGCUAGACGGUGGGUCUCAGCAGCCGUCUUUCGAAGACGCCCUCGGGCACGGGUGCCUAAGUUGACCUUCACGAAGAGGUCAUCUGCUACUGAGUUGUCGGCCCGAGGAACAUGUUGCAGUUCUAGGGCCGUGAAGUCUUUCUCCAGUUUCCUUACGUGAAGAAGGUAGGCUGCGAGCCUGGGCUCAUUGCAGCUACACUCUCCGCGGACUUGCUUGAUGAUCAGCUAGGAGUCUCCGUUUACCAGGAGCUGGUGGAUGCCUAGGGAUAGGGCCGCCGAUAAGCCAAAGAUCAGUGCCUCGUACUCUGCCAUGUUGUUGGUGGCUUUGAACUCAAGGUGCACCAUGUACUUCACUUGAUCUCUGCUUGGGUCGAUGAGGAUCACCCCGGCCCCGCUGACUUGUUGGCGGGCAGACCCGUCGAAGUAGAGCGUCCAGUGGGGCUCGGUGAAGACCGGACCCCUGGGUUCCGCAGGUGUGGGGUCCGAGUCAGGACCCGGACCCCCAGGGACGCUUGAGGGGGGUGUCCACUCCACGAUGAAGUCAGCCAGGACCUGACUCUUGAUGGCGUGGCGAGGUCGGAAGUCCAGCUGGAACUCAGCGAGCUCCGCAGCCCACUUGGCAAUGUUCCUAUGGCGUUAGAGUUGUGGAGGAUGGCCCUUAAUGGGAAGGAGGUCACCACCACAAUACUGUGCGCUUGGAAAUAAUGGCGUAGUUUCCUGGACGCGACGAGCACAACAUAGAAGAGUUUGUGCGUCUCAAGGUACCUGGUUUUCGCCUCAUGGAGGACCUCACUGACGUAGUAGAGCGGCCUCUGAACGGUGCGGACCCCUGUAGCCGGUCCCAAGUUCUCAAGUUCCUGGCUUUCUGGUGCCGGUCUCUCGACGACCAACACCAUGCUCACCGCUUCUGCGGCCGUCGCAAUGUAUAAAUAUAGUGGCUCCUCUAGUUCUGGAGCCACCAAUAUUGGCAGAGACACCAAGUGCUUUUUCAACUCCUGGAAGGCUUGCUCCGCCUCUUCGGUCCAAGAGAAGGGCCCGGAUUUCCGUAGCAGCUUGAAGAAGGGCAGCGCUCUCUCAGCCAGCCUCGAAAUGAAGCGGCUAAGGGCGACCAAUGAUCCCGUAAGCUUCUGGACGUCCUUGACUCGGGCCGGGGGCCUCAUGCCUCAAUCGCUCUGAUCUUCUCCGAGUUUGCUUCAAUGCCCCAGUACGAAACCAGGAACCCUAGCAAUUUCCCAGCGGAAAUGCCGAAAACGUACUUGUCUGGGUUCAGCUUCGUGCGGGUUGCUCGUAGCUUGUCGAAGACCAGGGUCAAGUCUUCCACUAAGGUCGACCCUCUCUUAGUCUUGACCACGAUGUCAUCGACAUAGACUUCUACUUUGUCUCUAAUUAGGUCCCCGAAAGUCUUACCCAUUGCCCACACAAAUGUAGGCAAGGAAUUUUUCAGACCGUACGACAUAACAACAUAGCAGUAAAGCCCAUCCACUGUUACAAAAGCGGUAUGCUUUCUAUCUUCCCUAGACAUUUGGAUUUGGUGGAAACCAGAGUAAGCGUCUAAGAAUGAUAAUAGAUCGCACCCAGAGGUAGAAUCCACGAUUUGGUCUAUACGUGGCAGCGGAUACGAGUCCUUGGGACAAGCCUUUUUCAGGCUGGUGUAGUCGAUGCACAUCCGGAGCUUCCCAUUCGCUUUGGGGACAAUGACUGGGUUGGCCAGCCAUAUUGGGUGAUGAACCUCUUCGAUGAAGCCAGCGUCUAGCAGCUUCCGGACCUCCUUUCGGAUGAAGUCCUGUCGCUAAAUAAACUGUUUGCGAGGCUUCUGACUCACCGGCCUGGCGUCGGGGUUGAUCUUCAGGCAGUGCUCGAUCACCUCCCUGGGGAUCCCAGGCAUCUGCAAUGGCUCCCAUGCGAAUAUGUCGGCAUUUGCCUGGAGGAAGGCGAUGAGCGCGAGUUCCUAUUUCUCGUCCAGAUCACUCGCAAUGCGAGUGGUCUGGGUGGAAUCUGCAGCAAGACGGAUGGCUUUGAUGGGGACACCAUCCGCUCCGGAUGGUUGUACCUUUGGCGCCUUGGGGGCGCCUUGGUACCGGAGGUUGAGGGAUUCCUCCCUCCGUCGUCUGGGUGAGCAGUCUCUGCCGCUAGGGCAUGCAGCUUUUCUAGACAGGCAGCCUGAUACCACAUUGCUAUGGUAUCUUUCACCUCCAUUUUUUGUUUGAUUUGACAUGAGGAACAUCUCCUGUCCUUUCUUUGACUCUUUUUCUUUUUUUAUAUGGGAAAUGAUCCCAAAUGAUAAGUGAAUAGGUGUGGAAGUUAUAAUUGUAAAUAAACCAGGAUCGAAUCUAUGGAAGCAUUGGUUUAUACGUUCCUUUUAGUUUCGACUUUAGGGAUA
rnacentral:lncRNA from 1 species